rnacentral:rRNA from 1 species
UGGGGAAUCUUGGACAAUGGGCGCAAGCCUGAUCCAGCCAUGCCGCGUGAGGGAUGAAGUAUUUCGGUAUGUAAACUUCGAAAGAAUAGGAAGAAUAAAUGACGGUACUAUUUAUAAGGUCCGGCUAACUACGUGCCAGCAGCCGCGGUAAUACGUAGGGACCAAGCGUUGUUCGGAUUUACUGGGCGUAAAGGGCGCGUAGGCGGCAAUUCAAGUCAUCUGUGAAAUCUCCGGGCUUAACUCGGAACGGUCAGAUGAUACUGCUUUGCUAGAGUGCAGAAGGGGCAAUCGGAAUUCUUGGUGUAGCGGUGAAAUGCGUAGAUAUCAAGAGGAACACCUGAGGUGAAGACGGGUUGCUGGGCUGACACUGACGCUGAGGCGCGAAAGCCAGGGGAGCAAACGGGAUUAGAUACCCCCGUAGUCCCUGAGCGGGCUGGCAAGGCGCAU